UGAAACUUAGGGUCUAGACAUCUUCGGUUUUGUUUCUGUUAAUGUCUCCAACUAGGAACUGUUGCAAAUCAUCGUUGUAUCAACUGAUUUAAGCGACAAUUUGGGUUUAUUACACAAUGUUCCUGGUGUUUGGCUGCUUAGAAAAUGGUGGAUCAAUGCAAGCUUACCAUUGAUGUAUGUAUAGUUGUUACCAGUUGAUUAAUGGAAUUGUCAAAUAUUUGGAUCAGUACUCUCUGAUGUCAAUACUUGUACGCUGUGAAAAAACUGCAUUGUGGAUUUUGUUGCUUCUUGAGUUUGGCCUGAGCUCUGAAUUAGCUUUUGGCUGAUCUAAAUCUAGUUUAUUGCAUAUGUUGAGAAGAGGUCUCAUGAGUUUGAAAAUAGUAGAAAUGCUAUAUUGUGGAUUUGGUUUCUUGUUUAUGUUUCCUCUGUUCUCAUCCAGAAUCUAGGGUACUUUAUGUGCAUAAAUGCUCAGAAUCCAAUGUUUCCUGGGAAGAAUGUGGGGGCACCAAUUGAAUAUUAUUACUGAUUUGCUUGGAUUUGGUUUCUUGUUUAUGUUUCCUCUGUUCUCAUCCAGAAUCUAGGGUACUUUAUGUGCAUAAAUGCUCAGAAUCCAAUGUUUCCUGGGAAGAAUGUGGGGGCACCAAUUGAAUAUUAUUACUGAUUUGCUUGGAUUUGUUUACUUGUACUUUGUAGCCAUGGUUUAAUGGCAAGUACUUUAGGCCUAGCUCGGGUUAGAUUUAUGUUAAUUGGUACGAAACCUUAAGUCGUAGGUAUGUGGUCCACAUCUGAGAAUAUUAGUGCUGUAACAUUAACAGACCACGGUUGGAUCAGUUUUUGCUAUUAUCAGUAAUGAUGAUCGAUGUCUUGUUUUGUUCUGUUUUCUUUGCGGUUCACUAAUCAAGUUUUAACUUAGUGGACAAUACAAUAAUGAGGUGGUGAGAUUUUAUAUUUUCCAGUUUCUGUAUAUUUUGUGUCGGUGUGCUCGAAUCUUUUUGUCUGCAUAUCUUUGUCAAAUAUUAUACUUUUCUUGUGAAAAUAAGAUUCAUUUAGAUAGUUAUCUGAUUAAAAAUUUAAUUAAUCAACCAACCUUAUUAAUAAACUAACAAUCCUAAUCAAUCUCCAUCAUUACUAUUAUAAGUGUGAAUACCAACAUUGAUCCUCUCCAGAUCUCAGUCACAUCGUGUCUCUUAGUUACCUCUCUCUCUCAUGUUUCUUUUUCUCCUCCUCCUCUCUGCUUCUCGCUCCGGUGAAUCUUCGCCGUCCGGAGACGCCACCGGUGAUCUUAACAGAAAAAGUUUUCCGGAGAGGUUCGUGUUCGGAACCGCCACGUCAGCAUAUCAGGUUGAAGGCGAGACGUACCAAGAUGGGCGUGGUCCAAGCAUCUGGGAUGCAUUCGUCAAGAUUCCUGGCAAUAUUGCUAACAAUGCCACGGCUGAGUUAACAGUGGACCAGUAUCACCUUUACAAGGAAGAUGUAGAUUUGAUGCAGACACUGAACUUUGAUGCCUACAGAUUUUCCAUUUCAUGGUCCAGAAUAUUCCCUGAUGGAACCGGUAAAAUCAACUGGAAUGGAGUUGCUUAUUACAACAGAUUGAUAGAUUACUUGGUCCAAAAAGGGAUUACACCGUAUGCGAAUCUGUACCACUACGAUCUUCCUCUGGCUUUGGAAAAGAAGUAUAAAGGCUUGCUUGGUAGACAAGUUGUGGAAGAUUUUGCGGAUUACGCAGAGUUUUGUUUCAAGACAUUUGGUGAUAGAGUGAAAAACUGGAUGACAUUCAACGAGCCACGAGUAGUAGCUGCUUUAGGUUAUGAUAACGGUAUAUUCGCACCGGCUAGAUGCUCUAAAGCCUUUGGAAACUGCACUGAAGGAAACUCUGCCACUGAACCUUACAUUGUUGCGCAUCACCUUAUCGUGGCACAUGCAUCAGCCGUCCAGAGAUACCGCCAACACUAUCAGGAGAAACAAAAGGGAAGGAUUGGUAUUCUUCUUGAUUUCGUUUGGUUCGAGCCUCUUACAAGUAGUGAAGCAGACAAUGACGCUGCUCAAAGAGCAAGAGACUUCCAUCUCGGAUGGUUCAUUCACCCAAUAGUAUAUGGAGAGUAUCCGAAGACGAUGCAGGACAUCGUGAAGGAGAGGCUUCCAAACUUCACGGAGGAGGAAGUGAAGAUGGUGAAAGGUUCCAUAGAUUUUGUGGGAAUAAACCAAUACACGACUUAUUACAUGUCCGCUCCACAUCCCACCGCCAAACCUAAGGAUUUAGGUUAUCAACAAGAUUGGAAUGUCGUUUUUAACUCAUUACUGAGAAACCUCAAUCUCUACACAUGCAGUUGCAAAGGAUGGGAAACCAAUUGGUCCAAGGGCACAUUCGGAAUGGUUAUACAACGUACCAUGGGGAAUGUACAAGGCCAUGAUGUACGUUAAGGACCAUUAUGGCAACCCUACUAUGAUUCUCUCAGAAAAUGGUAUGGAUGAUGCGGGCAACAUUACUCAAGCUCAAGGAGUAAAUGAUACAUCAAGAAUCACGUAUUAUAGAGACUACUUAACGCAGCUUAAAAAGGCAGUAGAAGAUGGAGCCAAUGUAACUGGAUAUUUCGCAUGGUCUUUGCUGGAUAAUUUUGAAUGGUUAUCUGGAUAUACGUCAAGGUUUGGAAUUGUGUACGUUGACUACAAGGACUUGAAACGAUACCCCAAGAUGUCUGCUUUAUGGUUUAGACGUAUUUUGGAACGGGACCAGUGAUGAGAUCAAUGGGUCCAUGAUUGGAUAUUUGUGGUCUUUAUUUGACUUUCCAACGCUAAUAAAAAUUUCAGCAGCAAGAAGUUUUGUUCUUGUAUAUACGUUGUAACUUUCAAUAAUGUGUAUGGCGUUUUACA